rnacentral:rRNA from 1 species
GGGUGAGUAAUGCAUCGGAAUGUACCGUGUAAUGGGGGAUAGCUCGGCGAAAGCCGGAUUAAUACCGCAUACGCCCUGAGGGGGAAAGUGGGGGACCGUAAGGCCUCACGUUAUACGAGCAGCCGAUGUCUGAUUAGCUAGUUGGUGGGGUAAAGGCUCACCAAGGCGACGAUCAGUAGCGGGUCUGAGAGGAUGAUCCGCCACACUGGGACUGAGACACGGCCCAGACUCCUACGGGAGGCAGCAGUGGGGAAUUUUGGACAAUGGGCGCAAGCCUGAUCCAGCCAUGCCGCGUGUCUGAAGAAGGCCUUCGGGUUGUAAAGGACUUUUGUCCGGGAGCAAAUCCCAGUGGUUAACACCUACUGGGGCUGAGAGUACCGGAAGAAUAAGCACCGGCUAACUACGUGCCAGCAGCCGCGGUAAUACGUAGGGUGCAAGCGUUAAUCGGAAUUACUGGGCGUAAAGCGUGCGCAGGCGGUUGUGCAAGUCUGAUGUGAAAGCCCCGGGCUUAACCUGGGAACGGCAUUGGAGACUGCACGACUAGAGUGCGUCAGAGGGGGGUAGAAUUCCGCGUGUAGCAGUGAAAUGCGUAGAGAUGCGGAGGAAUACCGAUGGCGAA